CAAUAGCGUAUAUUAAAGUUGUUGCAGUUAAAAAGCUCGUAGUUGGAUUUCUGGUGGGAGCGAUCGGUCUGGCGCUUAGCGCGAGUACUUGCAUCGUCUCCGGCCAUCCUUGGGGAGAGUCUGUCUGGCAUUAGGUUGUCGGGCAGAGGAUCCUCAUCGUUUACUGUGAAAAAAUUAGAGUGUUCAAAGCAGGCUUAUGCCGUUGUAUAUAUUAGCAUGGAAUAAUAAGAUAGGACUUUGGUACUAUUUUGUUGGUUUGCGCACCAAAGUAAUGAUUAAUAGGGACAGUUGGGGGUAUUCGUAUUCCGUUGUCAGAGGUGAAAUUCUUGGAUUUACGGAAGACGAACUACUGCGAAAGCAUUUACCAAGGAUGUUUUCAUUAA
rnacentral:rRNA from 1 species